rnacentral:tRNA from 1 species
CAAGUUAAAGCUUUGAAGCAUUUUAUUUACAUUAAAAAGAUAAUUGUUAAUUCAAUUUGAUUUGA